GGCCUUCCAAUUCUUACCACAGGCAGUGUUCUUUACACUGACUGUAUAGACUCUAGAGGAACUACAGUAAAUGCACCCCAUAUACACCUCAACACAGGCUCUUUGCCUGGUCUGUAUUGUGAAUUGGGGAACAAAA